rnacentral:rRNA from 1 species
AUGCAAUUCUGGAAUUUGCAAGGGAACCCCUCCGCCGCCCACAUCCAAGAGCUUUUCUCGCUCUGGACACUUCUGCAUGACUUUCACCUGGAUGACCAGGUUGAGGAUGACAUUGUUUGGAAACAUACUGUUGAUGGGAUAUACUCAGCGACCACUGCUUAUAAGGCGCAAUUCCUUGGGCUAAUGCACUCGCCCAUUCACAUCAUGGUUUGGAAAGCUUGGGCUCCCCCUAAGGUCAAAUUCUCAAGACCAGAUUUGGACUGCGGCCGGCUGGAGAGGCGUGGUUGGGAAAAUUGUGGGCUUUGCCCACUGUGUAAGAGGGAGCAAGAAUCAGGCAUCCAUAUUUUCGUCAAGUGUCGCUUCUCCAUUCGGCUCUGGCGAUCAAGCAUUGACAAGUUUGGUCUUGCACACAUUGACACCUCCGAUUGGCACAUUGAGGACUCUCUUAUGCGUUGGUGGGAUAGAAGAACCGACAUGCGAAAUCCAGACAGACAAGCGAUGGCCACCCUCACCAUGCUUGUCUCUUGGACUCUUUGGAAUGAGGGAAACGCUCGCGUGUUUCGCCACAAGAGUGCGCCACCGCCUAUUCUUCUUCAAAAUAUUUUGCUUGAGGCCAACCUAUGGGUUACAGCAGGUGCUAAGAAACUAGGGCGUAUUGUUGUACGAGAGUAA